GACGGAGGGUGCUAGCGUUGUUCGGAAUGACUGGGCGUAAAGGGCGCGUAGGCGGCCGCUUGCGUCGGAUGUGAAAGCCCGGGGCUCAACCCCGGAACGGCAUCCGAUACGGGGCGGCUCGAGACCGAGAGAGGUGAGUGGAAUACCCAGUGUAGAGGUGAAAUUCGUAGAUAUUGGGUGGAACACCGGUGGCGAAAGCGGCUCACUGGCUCGGUUCUGACGCUGAGGCGCGAAAGCGUGGGGAGCAAAC
rnacentral:rRNA from 2 species